rnacentral:rRNA from 1 species
AUUGAACGCUGGCGGCAUGCUUUACACAUGCAAGUCGAACGGUAACAGGCCGCAAGGUGCUGACGAGUGGCGAACGGGUGAGUAAUGCAUCGGAACGUGCCCAGUCGUGGGGGAUAACGCAGCGAAAGCUGCGCUAAUACCGCAUACGAUCUAUGGAUGAAAGCGGGGGACCGUAAGGCCUCGCGCGAUUGGAGCGGCCGAUGUCAGAUUAGGUAGUUGGUGGGGUAAAGGCUCACCAAGCCGACGACCUGUAGCUGGUCUGAGAGGACGACCAGCCACACUGGGACUGAGACACGGCCCAGACUCCUACGGGAGGCAGCAGUGGGGAAUUUUGGACAAUGGGCGCAAGCCUGAUCCAGCAAUGCCGCGUGCAGGAAGAAGGCCUUCGGGUUGUAAACUGCUUUUGUACGGAACGAAAAGGCUCUGGUUAAUACCUGGGGCUCAUGACGGUACCGUAAGAAUAAGCACCGGCUAACUACGUGCCAGCCGCCGCAGUAA